rnacentral:rRNA from 1 species
UACGUAGGGUGCGAGCGUUGUCCGGAAUUACUGGGCGUAAAGAGCUCGUAGGUGGUUUGUCGCGUUGUUCGUGAAAACUCACAGCUUAACUGUGGGCGUGCGGGCGAUACGGGCAGACUGGAGUACUGCAGGGGAGACUGGAAUUCCUGGUGUAGCGGUGGAAUGCGCAGAUAUCAGGAGGAACACCGGUGGCGAAGGCGGGUCUCUGGGCAGUAACUGACGCUGGAGGAG